rnacentral:rRNA from 1 species
UGACUUUGGCCUCCGGAACUCUUGCCUCUGGCUGCGAUAAAUAACGCGACUUGCUGAAAUCAGUGAUGCGAAUUGUCUAUUUCCGCGAAUCGUCCCAUCUUUGAUUCUGCAUUGCGUCCCUGACCAAUCUGCCUUUCAUGCCUGUCCGACCGGCAUU